AAGGAAAUAGCGGAGGAGGGAGAAGGAGGACGGGGAAAUGACCGGGAAGAAGCGGCGGGUCGACUGGUGCGGCCAUAUACCUUACUUGCAAGCCAAAAUUUUGUCUGCGGGCAUCUGUCUGGGGUUAAAUAUGCGUGCUCCCAAAUCUCAAUAACCAGGCAGUCACCACGCCCGAAUCAGACAAGGGUGGGGGAUGGUGUCUUUGUCUGCCUGGAAGAUGGCGACAGCAGGGUGUGAGAAAAUGGCCGCCUGGGUCACGUGUCUGGCCGAGUAUUUCCCCACCUGAAGUGAAUUGGUUAGCUAUUCCCAACCACCUUCCCGGGUCCUUGAGCCCCAGACCAUCCCUGAGCACUCCUAGCUUUUUCUGCAUACGUUCAGAUCUAUGGCCAUACCCAACCCGAGCUGGAGCAGGAGCCAGAACGACUAGAAGCCUCUCCCACACUAGAAGCCUCUCCCACCCUUUUGCCUUCUUCCCCUCCUACUCCAUCCUUCCCUCAAUCCCGGAGCAGCGUCUGCAGAAGGGAAUGAAUUUAUAUCUCUGGAGUGGGGCAAGUAGGGGUUUCUGAAGCCAUCUCAAGGAGCUGGCUGGGAAGUGAGGUCUCCCCCACAAAAUAGUAAAUAUUAGUCUGCAAAUGUUUUCUUCUUGAUGGUUUAAUUCCAGCCCCUCCUCUUCCUCAAGCCUAAACCCUGGGGUGGGGCACAGAGUAGGUGGAACUCUGUGCCUCCGAGGGUGGGUUUGUUUCUCCACUUCAAGCACAGACGGGCUGAAAAUGACUCCAUCUGUCCCUUUAUCCCUUACAUAAACAGGACUCACUACCUCUCUACAUCGUUGGAGGGCUUCUAACCUCUCAUCCUAGAGACACAUGAAAUUCCUCUGGACCUGAAACCAGCCCUGACCACUUUCACCUUUCCCCCUGCAUUUGCAAUUUUGCUCUGUUUCUCUAAGACCUAACUCUUGUCACUUCGAUGAAACCUUCUCUGACUUUCGCAGAUGAGUUAGAAACCCAGAGCACCUUACCUAUACAGCUAAGCUAGCACUUAUCACAAUACUGUAGUUGUUUAUGUGACUGUGUCUCCACAGGAGGGUGAACUCCCUGAGAGCAGGGGCCAUGUAUCUUCAAGCUUUCAACAACACCCAGCACAAGACUGGUAUGAGGCAGGCUUCAACAACUGUUUGUUAAAUGGGUGAGUUUACAGGCCUGCACCACAAAAAAUGGGAAAUGGGCUGUUUAGUAGAUGGCAUUGGGAAAUUUGGCUCUCCAUGAAAAGAAAUAUAAAACUGGAUCUCUAUUUAUUCCACCUAAGAGGGUAGACUGUGAAUGUGAAAGGUAAAACUAUGAAGUUAAUAUAUGCAGGAGAAUAUCUUUGUGACUUGUGACUGGGGAAGGACUUUUUAAACAAAAUCCCAAAUGCACAAGAUAUAAGGGAAAAAAUACAAUGAAAUCUUGUGGAAACUAGUUAUUACGACUUUGGAAAACAAUUAGGAAGUAUCCAGAAUAGCUGAAGAUGACCCUGGGACCCAGCAGUUCUAGUAUUGGAGAUGAUUGAUUAAUAGGUAGAUAGAUAGAUAGAGAUCACCUCUAAACUUUAACUCCUAGAGAAAUUCUUAUACACUUGCUCAAUGAGCAUGUGGAAGAAUGUUCAUUGCAGAACUGUUUGUAAUAGAGAAAAAAAUGUGAACAGCCCA
rnacentral:lncRNA from 10 species